UGUUGGUCCAGACCCUGUCCCCGAUCCCCAAUCACUGCGGCCAGUCUCUCAUCAGGAGGGGACGGCUCCGGUGUACAAGGGUCCUUAAAGCGGCAAAAACAUGGUGUUUUGGAUUCCAGUGCAGGAGCAUCAUUCCACUGAACACGCCGCAUUCAAACUGCAGUACAUGUUGCCAUAACAUGUGAAAGGAUGCAACAGCACAUUGACUGAGAGUGAAUCCAGGACGCCUCUUGUUGAAGAUCGCCAUGAGCAGCCAUACAGAAGUGGACAAUACUUUCUCCAGUGUGGCAGCCCGUCCGACAAGUAGAGAGGAAUUGCCAGGACCUUCGGUUCCACAACUAUCGCCAUCUUCUUCAGCAGGUGAUUUACUCAGAAUCUUUACUGGUGUAGGGUAAAUUGAAACUGUGUUGUCUGUAAAUGGAUUAGUGACUACUCACAAAAACGGUAACAACAAAUCUCCCCAAAAGACAUGCUGGAGGAUGUGUGAUCCAGUGAAUUCAAACGCACCAUUGAUUUCAGGUACCUACCGUUGAGUAUCUGCAGUAGCAGGGCUUCCAAAAUGUCCCUGUCAGGACAAGAAAAACCGACUGACUCUGGAAUGGCAGCUGAUAUUAGUUUAGAAGUUCCUCUGCACCAACCAAUUUCCUUUUUUCAGCAUGAAAAGCAGACGCCUGGAAAGCAUGUCAGUUGUUUAGAGAAGAACUCCUGGACUGUCACUUGGAAUGUCCACGGCUCUUUCUAUUACUUCACUUAUUUGAUGAAGAAGAACAGGACAGUUCAAUAAUUUCAUUCUUUAAAAGGAAUGAUGUUAACUGGGCCAGUCCAUUCAGGUGCAAGCUGAGAGGUACUCCCAAACAGUAACUGGAUACCCUGUUACUGACUCUAAAAAAGACUUUCAUAAUGAGGAUUUUGUGCAUGUUUCCUUGUCCACUGAAGACAGUGAAGGCUGUUCAGCACAUGGUUGAGCUUUUCACGUGUGUGUGUGUGUGUGUGAGAGAAUUCUCUGCCAAAUCGGCUCCUGGAGGGCUGCGUCCCUCGUUUGGAGGAGCCGAGUUGCAGCAGAAGUGACCUAUGGGGACAAAUGCGUCCUUAAUGAUGCUGCCUAGGGAAUUGAGAGAGAGCCCUUGUGAUUGUCUGCCGUGUCCAUUAUUUUGUGUCCCUGAUUCCUGCUGGGCCAAAUCACCCGUACUUUCCCAGCGUAUUUAAACCAUGUGUUUCCCUUGUUCACUUCAUUGAGUGUCUUGACGAUAUCGGUGAGCUUUUGAUUUGCUUCUGUUCCCGGACCGCGCUUUGCCCCUAGGCAUUUUGAUGUUGCGGAAUGAAUUAGUUUUUAUUCUUAAAAUCAGAAAUUGAGUCCUACUUUCGGCACCUCAACCGUGACGGCUUGCAAGCAUGGAGCAGAGUUGAAACAAUAAAACUUCACAACAUGUUCCUAGGGAAAAUAUCCAGAUCCUACUCCACAAAUCAUCCUGUACAUCAGUCUAUCAGAGGUCGGUCUAUCCACUCCAACUGAACAUUAUUUGAAUUUGCCCAACAUAAACCUUGUGUUCAUACUAAGUACAACCUCUUAUUCUUGUUUCUUGCUCUUCUCAGUUUGUAUCCUUAUGGUUGAAUGCACUUAUUGUAAGUCAGCUAAAUGACAU